rnacentral:antisense_RNA from 1 species
AUCGCCGCCAUUUUGGGCUGGGAGGAGGCAGCGGAGGGACUCGCUGCGCACAUCAAGAAAGAAAACCAAGGCACUAGAAAGCAAGCACACUUAAGUAUUGAAGAUAAUUACAUCUUAAAUUUUGUCUGAACUGUAUAUUGUAGCAUACUUAAACCCAUUCAAGGAAAAAAUUGGCAAAUUGAAAAUUCUCCCAUUAAAGAUUGAUAUUUUUGCAAACUGACAAAUUUAACGAUUUCGGUACCCCUCCCCAAAAAUGCAAUCACAUAAAAUAAAUCAAUACUAUUUUGAAUUAGCUCUAGAAAUCACACUGAAACUGUUACAUUUACAAAUGUUAAAUUUAUUAUAACUAAAAUGAAUUUAAUUGUUCUCAGAUUUGGCCACCUUAUAGCUCCGUUUAAGGAGGGGAUUUGUUAAAAACAAAAAUGCAUUAUAACUUGGUCAAAUUACUUUCACAUUAAGGAAAACUUCUAAAAAGGAAAACAAGAAAAGCAACUCUUCAGUUUCACAUAAUUAAAAGAACAGGAGAAAGCACGCAAGCUACAUAUAGCUAAAUUUACGAAACCAACCAA